AUUGAACGCUGGCGGCAGGCCUAACACAUGCAAGUCGAACGGUAACAGGAAGAAGCUUGCUUCUUUGCUGACGAGUGGCGGACGGGUGAGUAAUGUCUGGGAAACUACCUGAUGGAGGGGGAUAACUACUGGAAACGGUAGCUAAUACCGCAUAACGUCGCAAGACCAAAGAGGGGGACCUUCGGGCCUCUUGCCAUCGGAUGUGCCCAGAUGGGAUUAGCUAGUAGGUGGGGUAACGGCUCACCUAGGCGACGAUCCCUAGCUGGUCUGAGAGGAUGACCAGCCACACUGGAACUGAGACACGGUCCAGACUCCUACGGGAGGCAGCAGUGGGGAAUAUUGCACAAUGGGCGCAAGCCUGAUGCAGCCAUGCCGCGUGUAUGAAGAAGGCCUUCGGGUUGUAAAGUACUUUCAGCGGGGAGGAAGGGAGUAAAGUUAAUACCUUUACUCAUUGACGUUACCCGCAGAAGAAGCACCGGCUAACUCCGUG
rnacentral:rRNA from 1 species